rnacentral:rRNA from 1 species
GAUGAACGCUGGCGGCGUGCUUAACACAUGCAAGUCGAACGGAAAGGCCCAUGCUUGCAGGGGUACUCGAGUGGCGAACGGGUGAGUAACACGUGGGUGAUCUGCCCUGCACUUCGGGAUAAGCCUGGGAAACUGGGUCUAAUACCGGAUAGGACGAUGGUUUGGAUGCCAUUGUGGAAAGUUUUUUCGGUGUGGGAUGAGCUCGCGGCCUAUCAGCUUGUUGGUGGGGUAAUGGCCUACCAAGGCGUCGACGGGUAGCCGGCCUGAGAGGGGGUACGGCCACUUUGGGCCUGGGUUCCGCCCCGGACCCCUCCGGGAGCCGGCGGUGGGGAUUUUUGCACAAGGGGGGCAGGCCUGAUGCAGCGACGCGGCGGGGGGGAUGACGGCCUUCGGGUUGUAACCUCCUUCCGCUAGGGACGAAGCGCAAGUGACGGUACCUUGAGAAGAAGCACCGGCUAACUUCGUU